rnacentral:sRNA from 1 species
UAAGCAAGGGAGCGGUGACUGGACCUACAUAUAACCAACAUGUUCCUUUUUUGAUGAGCAUUAAGGUGGAGUUCACCUUUUGGACAACUAGCUUGGAGUGUUAUAGAGAAUAUGGCAUUCAUGUAUUCAUUUGUGUUAUUAGGAGUAGGUUUCUGGAAUCAAAUACAUAUCUAAAUAUGUGUCAAUUAUAGCUUGUUGGUUAAGCAUCCAUAGUGGUAUGACGUGUUAUUGUCGUCCUAAAUUCCUAAUGCUAUUUAAAUCAGUCAAUGUCUCUUAUAAACUGUUCACUUAUUUAUAAGUUACCUCCUAAAAGAUCUGUGACAGGUGAUCAAUCGAAAAAAAUAUUUCCAUGAUUUGUUAGGAUUUAGAAAAAUGAGUUGUGAUUAAUCUGCAUAUAUCCGGACAAUUGUAUUUUGUUGAUUUAGAUAUAUGGACAGAAGUAUAUUUCUCCUGCACCUGUGUAAACUUUGGGGUCAACAUCCAAUCCUACACUUGUACCUUUGCAUUCUUUAGCUGUUUACACAGGUCUCCUCCCCAAAGACCACCACGGGACUUGAGCUGCCUUCUGGUGGUCAUGUAAGCUGUCGAUACUGCACACCAAGUGGUAAGCUGUCUAGCGCUUCUGUAUUCAUUGAGAUGGAGAUGUCGUAUAUGGUGAAUCCACAAACUGGGUAUGUUAACAAGCUUAAGGAACGGGCAAAGAUUUCUACACCAAGAUUCUCAUAUUUACCCCAGAGCGGGAUUUUACAUGGAUGAGGCUCAUUGCUGAUAAGUGCGGUGCGGUGCUGUGUUGUGCUCAUGUGCGACCCGGCGCACAUCAGCAGGCUUGUCACCACGAUGGUAUCAUAUUCAAACUGAGUUUGAACUUAGUUUAUCAAAGAUCAUUCUGAUUUUCAGAAUAACAAAGGUAACAUUUUGAGGAAUGCCGUAGUCUCUUUAACCACUGCGAUGUGGUUACAUCAACUAACAAGAAUCUAACAGGUCCUAGAGGUGGUACAAUAUUUUUCAGGAGAGGAAAAAAUUAAGGAAGAGGACUGUUCUUUUUUCUCAAGGGGAUGAAAAUGAAUUGUGACUUUCAGGACAGGAUAAAUUUUGUUGUUUUCCAUUCAAAACAACUAUGCCAGGACGGGAGGUCCCCAUGGUAUAUAUUGCUUCCUUGGUGAUAACUCUGAAGCAAGUUGCAACACCUGAAUAUAAAGCAUAGAUUCAACAAGUUAAGAAAAAUGCAAAAGUUUUGGCAACAGCUUUGCUUAGAAGAAAAUGCAGAAUUGUUACUAUUUUAGAUGAUGGAAAAUGAUUAGUACAUGCCGACUGCUGGGCGAUGGCACAGAUAACCACUACUUUGGGAUUUAAGAACUUCAGGCCUAACCGGUAUAAUUGUGCCUACCAUUUUCUUAAUUAAUUUAUUUUUUAAUCCGUG